rnacentral:rRNA from 1 species
GACGAACGCUGGCGGUGUGCUUCACACAUGCAAGUCGAACGAGUGGCGGACGGGUGAGUAACGCGUGGGAAUCUGCCUUUAGAUGGGGGAUAACGAGCCGAAAGGUUCGCUAAUACCGCAUAUCUAGAGAUGAGCCCGCGUCCGAUUAGCUAGUUGGUAGGGUAAAGGCCUACCAAGGCGACGAUCGGUAGCUGGUCUGAGAGGAUGAUCAGCCACAAUGGGACUGAGACACGGCCCAUACUCCUACGGGAGGCAGCAGUGGGGAAUUUUACGCAAUGGGCGAAAGCCUGACGUAGCGACACCGCGUGAGCGAAGAAGCCCUUUGGGGUGUAAAGCUCUGUCGGCUGGAACGCGGUACCAGCAAAGGAAGCAUCGGCUAACUACGUGCCAGCAGCCGCGGUAAUAC